CACGUAGGGUGCGAGCGUUACUCGGAAUUACUGGCGUAAAGCGUGCGUAGGUGGUUCGUUAAGUCUGUCGUGAAAGCCCCGGGCUCAACCUGGGAAUGGCGAUGGAUACUGGCGGGGCUAGGAGUGCGGUAGAAGGAGAGAUGGAAUUCCCCGGUGUAGCAGUGAAAUGCGUAGAGAUCGGGAGGAACAUCGAGUUGCGGAGCGGCUCUCUGGACCAGCACUGACACUGAGGCACGAAAGCGUGGGGAG
rnacentral:rRNA from 1 species